GUUUUUGUGGUGCUGCAGUGCGGCUGCACUGCUCAAGUCUCCAGAACACAGUGCUGGGCGCAGCGUCUCUGCACACGGCUCGCCGAGGCCUUCUUGAAUUGAGUAGCCUGUGCGGCAGCUGAACCGAGGUAUCUGGCAGCCGUUCGGCCCUUAGGUACUAUGGUCUGAAAUGCCAGGUGAGAAGCCUCUUCCUUUACGCAGCACCCUGCGAGCAAGUGAAACUAGAGGAAACAUGAAGGCAAAGAAAAAGGUUGAACUGAAAUGAAAGAACAUGAGUUGAAUAUUUCAUGCUGUACUGGAAAUCUCACUCAAGAUACUAGAAAGAACAAACUAAAGAAACCAAGGCUUCAGAAAACUACACUCAAAAAAUAAUAUACAUUUCAGCAGAUUAUGAUCCCAACUUGUAUCCAUGAGGAUGUAGGUUCAA